rnacentral:rRNA from 1 species
UCAGGACGAACGCUGGCGGCGUGCUUAACACAUGCAAGUCGAACGAGACGAAUUAGAAGCUUGCUUUAUUGAGUCGAGUGGCAAACGGGUGAGUAACGCGUAGGCAACCUGCCUCUAGGAUGGGGACAACAGUCCGAAAGGACUGCUAAUACCGAAUGUUGUAUCAAUUCCGCAUGGAGUUGGUAUGAAAGAUGGCCUCUACUUGUAAGCUAUCACCUAGAGAUGGGCCUGCGUCUGAUUAGCUAGUUGGCGGGGUAACGGGCCCACCAAGUCGACGAUCGGUAGCCGGACUGAGAGGUUGACCGGCCACAUUGGGACUGAGAUACGGCCCAGACUCCUACGGGAGGGCAGCAGUGGGGAAUAUUGGGCAAUGGGCGAAAGCCUGACCCAGCAACGCCGCGUGAAGGAAGAAGGUCUUCGGAUUGUAAACUUCUUUUAUCAGGGACGAAGUAAGUGACGGUACCUGAUGAAUAAGCCACGGCUAACUACGUG